GGCGGACGGGUGAGUAACACGUGGGGAACCUACCCAGCAGCGGGGGAUAACACUUGGAAACAGGUGCUAAUACCGCAUAAGCCUUUUUUCCACCUGGAAGAAAGGAAAAGGUCACUGCUGGAGGGGCCCGCGGUGCAUUAGCCAGUUGGUGAGGUAACGGCUCACCAAAGCAACGAUGCAUAGCCGACCUGAGAGGGUGAUCGGCCACACUGGGACUGAGACACGGCCCAGACUCCUACGGGAGGCAGCAGUAGGGAAUCUUCGGCAAUGGACGCAAGUCUGACCGAGCAACGCCGCGUGAGUGAAGAAGGUUUUCGGAUCGUAAAGCUCUGUUGUCAGCCAAGAUGACGGUAGCUGACCAGAAAGCCACGGCUAACUACGUGCCAGCAGCCGCGGUAAUACGUAGGUGGCAAGCGUUGUCCGGAUUUAUUGGGCGUAAAGGGAGCGCAGGCGGUUCGUUAAGUCUGAUGUGAAAGCCCUCGGCUCAACCGAGGAGGGGCAUUGGAAACUGGCGAACUUGAGUACAGAGGAGGAGAGUGGAAUUCCAUGUGUAGCGGUGAAAUGCGUAGAUAUAUGGAGGAACACCGGUGGCGAAGGCGACUCUCUGGUCUGUGACUGACGCUGAGGCUCGAAAGCGUGGGUAGCAAACAGGAUUAGAUACCCUGGUAGUCCACGCCGUAAACGCUGAGUGCUAAGUGUUGGAGCUUCAGUGCUGCAGUUAACGCAUUAAGCACUCCGCCUGGGGGGUACGACCGCAAGGUUGAAACUCAAAGGAAUUGACGGGGGCCCGCACAAG
rnacentral:rRNA from 1 species